CCUACGGGGGGCAGCAGUGGGGAAUAUUGCACAAUGGGCGCAAGCCUGAUGCAGCCAUGCCGCGUGUAUGAAGAAGGCCUUCGGGUUGUAAAGUACUUUCAGCGGGGAGGAAGGCGAUAAGGUUAAUAACCUUGUCGAUUGACGUUACCCGCAGAAGAAGCACCGGCUAACUCCGUGCCAGCAGCCGCGGUAAUACGGAGGGUGCAGGCGUUAAUCGGAAUUACUGGGCGUAAAGCGCACGCAGGCGGUCUGUCAAGUCGGAUGUGAAAUCCCCGGGCUC
rnacentral:rRNA from 1 species